AUUGUACAAAACGAAUCCACUCGGUCUCCUCCGUGCGACUGUAGCACACACGCGACCACCGCCGCCUCCAUCUAGAUCCCGACGCCGCCGGCGAUGCAGGUCCAUGGCAGCCCUUAAGGGUUCACUCAGCUCCUCGUAAGCAUGGGAGUUCCAUGCCUAGAUUGGCCGGGGCUAGAUCGAGAGAACGCAAUCUAGACGGAAGAUGAGUGCAGCAGCCCAAGCCGGAGCGUCGAGUCUGGGAGAUCUGAAAGCAGCGGCGGAUUUCACUCCGGCCAGGAAACUGUUGCGGAAGCUCCAAUCUCUCCGAGUCGCCGCCAUCGCUCGUGUCAGGGAACAAAAGCAUCUGAAGAGCAUGCUGAUAAGGUUAAAAGAGGGCGGCGCUUAAAGAAGAAGCACCAAGUUGACAGCAUCCACGACAAGAUUGAAGAUUCUUCAUGCAAGCCAACUUUCAGGCGCAAACCUUGUUCAAUAUUUGAUAGUGGCAGCGAAGAUGAAGAUUUUUUGGCCAAAGAGGAAGACUUGCCUUCUCUGUCUGAGAAAACUAAUGGUAAAGUUUCCAAGGAAAACAAACCUGAAAAUGUUGCGUCAAAGGAGGAGACCAAAAAAAAGAGCAGAAAUGACAGGAAAAGAAAAAGUGAUACAUCGAUCAGGAUCCUGCAUCCCCAAUGUAUAUCUCUGCUUCAUAUUUUAGUUGUAUAUCUAUUUCUGUUGUGCUUGGUAAAUACUGAUCUGUACCUUGUUGCAUAACCUGAGCAGUGACGAAACAGAGGUCAAUGGGUCAUCAGUUCCAAAACAAGAAGCUGAAUUUACCACAAAUUUAUAAUU